CCUACGGGAGGCAGCAGUAGGGAAUCUUCCACAAUGGGCGAAAGCCUGAUGGAGCAACGCCGCGUGGGUGAAGAAGGUCUUCGGAUCGUAAAACCCUGUUGUUAGAGAAGAAAGUGCGUGAGAGUAACUGUUCACGUUUCGACGGUAUCUAACCAGAAAGCCACGGCUAACUACGUGCCAGCAGCCGCGGUAAUACGUAGGUGGCAAGCGUUAUCCGGAUUUUUUGGGCGUAAAGGGAACGCAGGCGGUCUUGUAAGUCUGAUGUGAAAGCCUUCGGCUUAACCGGAGUAGUGCAUUGGAAACUGGGAGACUUGAGUGCAGAAGAGGAGAGUGGAACUCCAUGUGUAGCGGUGAAAUGCGUAGAUAUAUGGAAGAACACCAGUGGCGAAAGCGGCUCUCUGGUCUGUAACUGACGCUGAGGUUCGAAAGCGUGGGUAGCAAACAGGAUUAGAUACCCUAGUAGUC
rnacentral:rRNA from 1 species